CUUGCGCAGUGAACACGAUACCACUUGAAUAACGUUAUCUUGUGUGGCGUUCUCCGCGGCCUUUUGUAGUCUGUUUAUUGUUACAUUUUAUUUUUUAAGAGCUGUUUGCGAGCACUACAAAAAUUGUUAAACGGGUUGCGAUAUUUUCACCGACUAGGCUUUUUACGUGGUUGGCCGUGGGCAUGGUCCCGUUUUACCCGUGCGAGUUCGCCUCGCAUAAUUCAUCGCGCCAAGCCUGAACUCACGUGAGGCGAGCUCCGCAGCCCUUUUUCGUCUGUGUAUUGUUCUCGCUGUUUCAUCGAGGGAUUGUUUGCGAGCGUAGAAAACAUACUUUAAACAGACGAUGUUAUUUCCAGAUGUCAUAUAGUUGUUUUUGUCACUGGCCUGCAGCAGACACGGUCCCGUUUGAUCCCAUCUGAAGUGCUGCGUUUUAAACGUGUUUCCAGUGGAGCAGAAAGUUCAACAGCGUGACAAAUUUAAUAAAUCUGGUUGCAGGAAGGCAUGCACUGGAAGUGAUUCCUGGAGAGCUUCUCUGUCGACAAGUUUUGCAGAUAUUGUUUGGCGAGCAGUGGAGACACUCAGCAGCAAGAGAUGGCUGUCCAACAGAAACUAACCAUGAGAGUUAUUGUCACUGAUGGAGAUAUAAGAAAAAUGACUAUGACAACACGGCCUGACAGACUUGAAGAUUUGAUUGGAUGGCUCAAAUCCACCCUCCAAACGAACUACAGCUUCUCUUUACAGUACCAAGAUCCUGAAUUUAACAAUGAACUAUGCAAUCUUACAGAUCUUUCUGAGCUUCCGGAUAAGCCUACCAUCAAAAUC